rnacentral:rRNA from 1 species
UGGGGAAUUUUGCACAAUGGGGGAAACCCUGAUGCAGCGACGCCGCGUGAUUUAGAAGGCCUUCGGGUUGUAAAAAUCUUUUCUAUGGGAAGAAAAUGACAGUACCAUAGGAAUAAGGACCGGCUAAUUACGUGCCAGCAGCCGCGGUAAUACGUAAGGUCCGAGCGUUGUCCGGAAUCAUUGGGCGUAAAGGGUACGUAGGCGGGUAAGCAAGUUAGAAGUGAAAUCCUAUAGCUCAACUAUAGUAAGCUUUUAAAACUGCUCAUCUUGAGGUAUGGAAGGGAAAGUGGACUUCCUAGUGUAGCGGUGAAAUGCGCAGAUAUUAGGAGGAAUACAGGUGGCGAAGGCGACUUUCUGGCCAUAACCUGACGCUGAGGUACGAAAGCGUGGGUAGCAAACAGG